CCUACGGGGGGCUGCAGUGGGGAAUAUUGCACAAUGGGGGGAACCCUGAUGCAGCAACGCCGCGUGGGUGAAGAAGUACUUCGGUAUGUAAAGCCCUGUCAGCAGGGAAGAAAAUGACGGUACCUGACCAAGAAGCCCCGGCCAACUACGUGCCAGCAGCGACGGUAAUACGUAGGGGGCAAGCGUGAUACGGAUUUACUGGGCGUAAAGGGAGUGUAGACGGGGAGGCAAGUCUGGAGGGAAACCCCGUGGCUCAACCACGGGACUGCUUUGGAAACUGGGUUGCUGGAGGGGAGGAGGGGUAAGCGGAAUUGCGAGUGUAGCGGUGGAAUGCGUAGAUAAUAGGAGGAACACCGGUGGCGAAGGCGGCUUACUGGGCUGUAACUGACGUUGAGGCUCGAAGGCGUGGGGAGCAAACAGGAUUAGAUACCCCUGGUAGUC
rnacentral:rRNA from 1 species